UACGUAGGCAGCAAGCGUUGUUCGGAGUUACUGGGCGUAAAGGGUGUGUAGGCGGUUCUUUAAGUUCGGUGUGAAAUCUCCUGGCUCAACUGGGAGGGUGCGCCGGAAACUGGAGUGCUUGAGCGUGGGAGAGGAAAGCGGAAUUCCUGGUGUAGCGGUGAAAUGCGUAGAUAUCAGGAGGAACACCGGUGGCGAAGGCGGGUCUCUGGGCCGAAACUGACGCUGAGGAGCGAAAGCGUGGGGAGCAAACAGG
rnacentral:rRNA from 1 species